rnacentral:rRNA from 1 species
UACAGAGGUGGCAAGCGUUGUUCGGAAUUACUGGGCGUAAAGGGCGCGUAGGCGGCCACGACAAGUCACUUGUGAAAUCUCCGGGCUUAACUCGGAACGGUCAAGUGAUACUGUCGGGCUAGAGUGCGGAAGGGGCAACUGGAAUUCUCGGUGUAGCGGUGAAAUGCGUAGAUAUCGAGAGGAACACCAAUGGCGAAGGCAGCUCUCUGGGACGGUACUGACGCUGAGACGCGAAAGCGUGGGGAGCGAACAGG